GUAGCUAUGUGUGGACGGGAUAAGUGCUGAAAGCAUCUAAGCAUGAAGCCCCCCUCAAGAUGAGAUUUCCCAUAGCGCAAGCUAGUAAGAUCCCUGAAAGAUGAUCAGGUUGAUAGGUCAGAGGUGGAAGCACGGCGACGUGUGUAGCUGACUGAUACUAAUCGAUCGAGGACUUAACCAA
rnacentral:ncRNA from 1 species